rnacentral:rRNA from 1 species
GACGAACGCUGGCGGCGUGCUUAACACAUGCAAGUCGAGCGGUAAGGCCCCUUCGGGGGUACAUGAGCGGCGAACGGGUGAGUAACACGUGAGCAAUCUGCCCAUCACAUCGGGAUAACUCCGGGAAACCGAAGCUAAUACCGAAUACGACCACCUCCCGCCUCGGAUGGGGGUGGAAAGUUCCGGCGGUGGUGGAUGAGCUCGCGGCCUCUCAGCUUGUUGGUGGGGUAACGGCCCACCAAGGAUUCGACGGGUAGCCGGCCUGGGUGGGUGACCGGCCACACUGGGACUGGGACACGGCCCAGACUCCUACGGGAGGCAGCAGUGGGGAAUAUUGGACAAUGGGCGAAAGCCUGAUCCAGCAACGCCGCGUGGGGGAAGACGGCCUUCGGGGUGUAAACCUCUUUCAGCAGGGAAGAAGCGCAAGGGACGGGACCUGCAGAAGAAGCACCGGCCAACUACGGG